GCCAGGGUAGCUCAGUGGUAGAGCACCGGAUUCAUAAACCGGCGGUCGAGAGUUCAAUCCUCUCCCCUGGUA
rnacentral:tRNA from 3 species